UAUGGAGAGGAGCUUGUGGCGUAUGUGUUUUUCUGAGCUGUCACUUCUGUAAGCUGGGCUGGAGUAUUGUCCUGUCAAGUCCUGUCACGAUCUAAGUAUCAAAGGAGCCACCCACAGGUGUCAAAAGGAAUGAGAUGGCCUAGGGUGCUGCUUGUGAGACAUGGAUGUUUUCCUUCUUCAGCAAGAAGUCAAGCUCUUACCUGCUAGAGACUCCAUCAUCUUAGGCUGCCAACUGCUAGCUCUGAAGAGGAUACUAAAAAUGAAAAGCCAGGCUGCAAACCCCAGGGGAGAAACAUGACAAGGAAAGAGCCUGCAGAGAACAGUUUCAUCAAUCCAACUGAUUUUCAGUCCACAGACCCCAAGCCUGCAGGAAGCUCUUCAGAGACUAAGUAAGCCCUUGUAGCAAGCCUGAAAAGGUAAAUGUAAUUACGGAUGCCUAUCAUAAUGUGACCAAAAGCAAUAUUAUAACAUUUAGCAAGCUGGA
rnacentral:lncRNA from 1 species